UUAAGUUGCAGGGUAUAGACCCGAAACCCGGUGAUCUAGCCAUGGGCAGGUUGAAGGUUGGGUAACACUAACUGGAGGACCGAACCGACUAAUGUUGAAAAAUUAGCGGAUGACCUGUGGCUGGGGGUGAAAGGCCAAUCAAACCGGGAGAUAGCUGGUUCUCCCCGAAAGCUAUUUAGGUAGCGCCUCGUGAAUUCAUCUCCGGGGGUAGAGCA
rnacentral:rRNA from 1 species